CUUUCAAUCAUGAUGAUAAAUUAUCCUAUUUUUUUGUUUCCCUAAACCCGCCUACCAACAUUCAAUACUAACAGAGCAUUCAAAGCUAAAAUUGCUUCUUCAAAGGUAUUUUAUGUGCAAUUGUAGAAUGUCAUCACGCUACAGAAUUGCAGGUUUAAAUGUGGGAAAUCAGCGUAUUAUAUUUCUCUGUAAUAUGCUGGUAAACAGGAUAUUUAGAUUUUAAAGUUUUAAGUUACUCUGGUUGUUUAAGGUUACGUUGAUGAUUUCAAGGGAAAGAAUCACGUAUGAUGAACAAACAUAUGUUGUUUGCUUUAGAACUUUUACAAACCAUUAUGGCUUGUCGAAUUAGGAUUUCUUAAAAAUAGAGCAGCUGGCAAUGGACUAGUUUUGGGGCCUAUUUACGGUGUUGUUGUUAUUUGUUCGGGUAUCAUUUCGUCAAGUCACGGUGAUUCAAGUAAUUAUUGUUAAAAAUAGCUUCGUCGUAAACAAAUUUAACACACCUAUCUGUUAUUAUCACGCUUAUCUUAAGUAUAAGCAGGCCUAAUUACUAAAAGACGAAAACAUUUUUGAGGAAGCGACGCGAUUAUAAACUGCAAAUAAUCGUGAACUAUUAAAAUAGGGUAAUAAUAUUAUAUGGAAUUUUUACAAUGUCCAACAGACUCUAAUAAAUGAAUUUUAAUAAGCUUUUUUGAUUUACCGGCACACAUUAGUUCACCACUAUAUUGGUAUAUAUUUGAUUUACUUAAAUGCCAUGUGAAUUGAAGCUUAUAUACAGGAGAAUGAACUGUGGUCACCCACCCGCUAAAGAAGUGUGUAUAGCCCGUAAUGUUAACCAAAUGACAUAAUCCAUACAAGGCGAGGAUGGCACUCGAAGGUAAAAUUUCACGUUGACCUUCCUAUAGGUGGGCUACGACUUCGAACCAGGACACCGCACAUUUUAUGAUCAUUUUGUUGACUGGUCCCCUUGCACCCGUGACGGAGAUUCCCACUGAGGUAAAACCAACGUGUCAACCGAGAGCUCCCACAGCGCUAUGGUAUACCCAGAGACAAUUCCAAACCAAAACCUCUCAAAAUAUGUAAA